UGCGUAGGGGGCAAGCGUUGUCCGGAUUUAUUGGGCGUAAAGAGCUCGUAGGCGGCCGUUCGCGUCGGAUGUGAAAGCUCAGGGCUCAACUCUGAGAUGCCAUUCGAUACGGGACGGCUAGAGGUAGGUAGGGGAGAGUGGAAUUCCUGGUGUAGCGGUGAAAUGCGCAGAUAUCAGGAGGAACACCGGUGGCGAAGGCGGCUCUCUGGGCCUUACCUGACGCUGAGGAGCGAAAGCUGGGGGAGCGAACAGG
rnacentral:rRNA from 1 species